rnacentral:rRNA from 1 species
AGUCGAGCGAGCUUGCCUAGAUGAUUUUAGUGCUUGCACUAAAUGAAACUAGAUACAAGCGAGCGGCGGACGGGUGAGUAACACGUGGGUAACCUGCCCAAGAGACUGGGAUAACACCUGGAAACAGAUGCUAAUACCGGAUAACAACACUAGACGCAUGUCUAGAGUUUGAAAGAUGGUUCUGCUAUCACUCUUGGAUGGACCUGCGGUGCAUUAGCUAGUUGGUAAGGUAACGGCUUACCAAGGCAAUGAUGCAUAGCCGAGUUGAGAGACUGAUCGGCCACAUUGGGACUGAGACACGGCCCAAACUCCUACGGGAGGCAGCAGUAGGGAAUCUUCCACAAUGGACGAAAGUCUGAUGGAGCAACGCCGCGUGAGUGAAGAAGGGUUUCGGCUCGUAAAGCUCUGUUGGUAGUGAAGAAAGAUAGAGGUAGUAACUGGCCUUUAUUUGACGGUAAUUACUUAGAAAGUCACGGCUAACUACGUGCCAGCAGCCGCGGUAAUACGUAGGUGGCAAGCGUUGUCCGGAUUUAUUGGGCGUAAAGCGAGUGCAGGCGGUUCAAUAAGUCUGAUGUGAAAGCCUUCGGCUCAACCGGAGAAUUGCAUCAGAAACUGUUGAACUUGAGUGCAGAAGAGGAGAGUGGAACUCCAUGUGUAGCGGUGGAAUGCGUAGAUAUAUGGAAGAACACCAGUGGCGAAGGCGGCUCUCUGGUCUGCAACUGACGCUGAGGCUCGAAAGCAUGGGUAGCGAACAGGAUUAGAUACCCUGGUAGUCCAUGCCGUAAACGA